GAUGAACGCUGGCGGCGUGCCUAACACAUGCAAGUCGAACGGAAAGGCCCUGCUUGCAGUGUGCUCGAGUGGCCAACGGGUGAGUAACACGUGCGUGAUCUGCCCCCUUUUUUGAGAUAAGCCUGGGAAAGUGGGUGUAACACUGGACAGGACCUAGCUGUAGGUGGAUUGGUGGAAAGAUAAGUUUCGGUAUGGGAUGAUCUAGAGACGUAUCAGCUUGUUGGUGGGGUAAUGGUCUACUAAGGCGUCGACGGGUCGCCGGCCAGAGAGGGUGGAAGGCCCGAUUGGGACUGAGACACGGCGCAGACGCCGACGAGAGGCAGCAAUGGGGAAUAGUGUGCAAUGGGAGCAAGGCUGAUGCAGUGACGCCGCGUGGGGGGUGACGGCCUGCUGGUUGUAAAGACCUAUCGUCCAAGAAGAAGCGCAUGUGGUGACGGUAGUGGUAGAAGAAGCCCCGGCUAACUACGUG
rnacentral:rRNA from 1 species